rnacentral:rRNA from 1 species
UACGUAGGGAGCAAGCGUUGUCCGGAAUCACUGGGCGUAAAGCGCGUGUAGGCGGCCUCCUAAGUCUGGUGUGAAAGCCCGGGGCUUACCCCCGGAAGUGCACUGGAUACUGGGAGACUAGAGUACCGGAGAGGAGGGUGGAAUUCCUGGUGUAGCGGUGAAAUGCGUAGAUAUCUGGAGGAACACCGGUGGCGAAGGCAGGUCUCUGGGCCAUAACUGACGCUGAGAAGCGAAAGCGUGGGAGCGAACGAGG